rnacentral:misc_RNA from 1 species
UGCCCACAUACCCACAUUGCUUUUGUUUCUUCAUUUACAUAAUGGAAAACAACGCAUGUGUCAGGGACAUAACCAAUAUCUUUCAUAGCAUCUGAGAUCUGACGAUACAUUCCAGAUCUUCUUAUACUCAGAAGAAUUACGGAACUCAAAACCCCCUCAGGCUGCAAAUGUGUGAACUACUCUCUUCUUUACUUGUAUCUAACUACAUCCAACCUCUUUCUUA